CACACACACACAAACAAACAUGUCUCUCACAAUCCACCCACCGCCUUCCAUCACCACCCCGCCAACACCACCAUCGGCGCCAUCUUUCACAACCGCAACCAUAAAUUGGCAUCAUCAUCGCAAGGAGCACUCAACGCUGGCAUCACCCUCGCAUACAUAAAGAGAUCAGAUCUUUUGCACCGCCACCAUCAGCGACAUCCAUCCCCACCCCACCGUCAGAAAUCAGAUCUUUUGCAUAUUUUUCAUAUUUACAAAUCGUUUCUGCCUCUCCCCUGUUUGCUGUUGCUGUAGUGUCCACAUUACGUAAGUGGAAAGUCGAUGGAGGAGACUUGGUAUGUUCAAGGGAUAUAGUGUAUGCAAUACAGAGCAUAUAUUUGGGGGCUGUAGUCUUUACAUGAAAGGAGUCUAAGAUUUAUACAAUACCUCAGGUGAAGGUAGAGGACGGUGAAAAGAUAUCUUAUGACAAAUUAAGGGCCACAAUAGGUGUGUUCACUUACUUGGGGUGUUACAGGCUAAUGGGCCUAGCGGUCCAAUAUUUUAGAACAAAGAUGGUGGCUGGGAUUACACAUGGAAGGUCAUAACACAAUGUUUGGCACGACCCUGAGUUACAUUUGAGUGCAUCUUCUCGGAGAAGGGCCUAAUGGUGGUUUGGAUGGCGCCUACACUAAAGCACGAUAAUGGAUUUUAGAUCGUGGGACUGUGUUCAACAAUCCUUCGUCGGGAGAACGUGGCUUUCAGUAUUUGUGUUCAUGAGUGGGUACCGGGUAGGAUGCAACCAAUGCCCAUAGAGUUAUUCUCUCAACCAUCUUGCCCUUGCAUUCAGGUACCUACCCUGAUGAAGAUUUUUUUACCAAAUAAUCAUCAAAAAAGAGCAAUUUACUCGGUAAAGAAUCUUUUGUAAAAGGUUGAUCCUAAAAAUACUAUGUUAUCAUUGUUGAAUACUAUGUUAU